UCGUCAGGCUCAUAACCUGAAGGCCGCAGGUUCAAAUCCUGCCCCCGCAA
rnacentral:tRNA from 1 species